rnacentral:rRNA from 1 species
UACGUAGGGCGCAAGCGUUAUCCGGAAUUAUUGGGCGUAAAGAGCUCGUAGGUGGCCUGUCGCGUCGGCUGUGAAAACUCGGGGCUCAACUCCGAGCUUGCAGUCGAUACGGGCAGGCUAGAGUUCGGCAGGGGAGACUGGAAUUCCUGGUGUAGCGGUGAAAUGCGCAGAUAUCAGGAGGAACACCGGUGGCGAAGGCGGGUCUCUGGGCCGAUACUGACACUGAGGAGCGAAAGCGUGGGGAGCGAACAGG